AUUGAACGCUGGCGGCAGGUCUAACACAUGCAAGUCGAACGAAGCCUUCGGGCUUAGUGGCGGACGGGUGAGUAACACGUGGGAACGUACCUUUUGGUUCGGAACAACUCAGGGAAACUUGAGCUAAUACCGGAUGAGCCCUUAGGGGGAAAGAUUUAUCGCCGAAAGAGCGGCCCGCGUUAGAUUAGCUGGUUGGUGAGGUAAAGGCUCACCAAGGCUACGAUCUAUAGCUGGUCUGAGAGGAUGAUCAGCCACACUGGGACUGAGACACGGCCCAGACUCCUACGGGAGGCAGCAGUGGGGAAUCUUGCGCAAUGGGCGAAAGCCUGACGCAGCCAUGCCGCGUGAAUGAUGAAGGUCUUAGGAUUGUAAAAUUCUUUUACCAGGGACGAUAAUGACGGUACCUGGAGAAAAAGCCCCGGCUAACUUCGUGCCAGCCGCCGCCGUAAAAC
rnacentral:rRNA from 1 species